AACGAACGCUGGCGGCAUGCCUAACACAUGCAAGUCGAACGAGACCUUCGGGUCUAGUGGCGCACGGGUGCGUAACGCGUGGGAACCUGCCCUUAGGUUCGGAAUAACUCCCCGAAAGGGGUGCUAAUACCGGAUAAUGUCUUCGGACCAAAAAUUUAUCGCCUUUGGAUGGGCCCGCGUUGGAUUAGCUAGUUGGUAGGGUAAAAGCCUACCAAGGCGACGAUCCAUAGCUGGUCUGAGAGGAUGAUCAGCCACACUGGGACUGAGACACGGCCCAGACUCCUACGGGAGGCAGCAGUGGGGAAUAUUGGACAAUGGGCGAAAGCCUGAUCCAGCAAUGCCGCGGGAGUGAUGAAGGCCUUAGGGUUGUAAAGCUCUUUUACCCGGGAUGAUAAUGACAGUACCGGGAGAAUAAGCUCCGGCUAACUCCGG
rnacentral:rRNA from 1 species